rnacentral:rRNA from 1 species
UACGUAGGGGGCAAGCGUUGUCCGGAAUCAUUGGGCGUAAAGGGUGCGUAGGCGGCUUGUUAAGUCAGGGGUGAAAGUUUUCGGCCCAACCGGAAAAUGGCCUUUGAUACUGGCGAGCUUGAGUGCGUGAGGGGUAACCGGAACGAGUCGUGUAGCGGUGAAAUGCGUAGAUAUGACUCGGAAGGCCAAAGGCGAAGGCAGGUUACUGGUACGCAACUGACGCUGAGGCACGAAAGCGUGGGGAGCAAACAGG